rnacentral:rRNA from 1 species
GUGCCAGCCGCCGCGGUAAUACCGGCAGCACGAGUGAUGGCCGAUUUUAUUGGGCCUAAAGCGUUCGUAGCCGGCCGGCCAAGUCCGUUGGGAAAUCCACGCGCUCAACGCGUGGGCGUCCAGCGGAAACUAUCCGGCUUGGAACCGGAAGGCUCAGAGGGUACGUCCGGGGUAGGAGUGAAAUCCCGUAAUCCCGGACGGACCACCGAUGGCGAAAGCACUCUGAGAAGACGGCUUCGACAGUGAGGGACGAAAGCUGGGGUCUCAAACCGGAUUAGAAACCCGAGUAGUCC